UACGUAGGGUGCAAGCGUUAAUCGGAAUUACUGGGCGUAAAGCGUGCGCAGGCGGUUGUGCAAGACCGAUGUGAAAUCCCCGGGCUUAACCUGGGAAUGGCAUUGGUGACUGCACGGCUAGAGUGUGGCAGAGGAAGGUGGAAUUCCACGUGUAGCGGUGAAAUGCGUAGAGAUGUGGAGGAACACAAGUGGCGAAGGCAGCCUUCUGGGCCAACACUGACGCUCAUGCACGAAAGCGUGGGGAGCAAACAGG
rnacentral:rRNA from 1 species